AGUUCAGUGCUGGGAACCCUUUUGGGGGAGAGGGGGGAAAGAAAAAAUCCAAGCUCCAGAAGAAUAGGAGAUACUGAAGAGAGGUUGAUGAUUUCUAGGACAUUUGAGGUGCAGAAGACUGCAAUGGAGCACUCCUAGCAGAGCUGCAACCCAACUGUCAGAGCUGCACUUGGCCCGAUAGAAGCAUAAGUCACCUCUCACUCAUGCAAGAGUCUCGAGUCAGCUAGCAAGGGGGCUGUGCAGCUUGCCAGCRACAGCAGCCACUCUGCAAUAGGGCAGCUCCGUCAGAAUUAGGAAUUUAUCCUCGGUACAGAGGAGUGUCUCAUCCUCCCAGUCACACUCUGAGGAUUGAUUUAGUCCAAGCAUUAAACUACAAGCACAACCUUUACARUCUAGAUGAGACGGAAGACGCUAGUGACUGGAUCCACAGCCCACUGACGGGAACGAAGCCACUUCUCCCCAGUGCUCGACACCACACCGCAUCCGUGCCAGGUACAAGCACUAAACACAUGCACACGGGAGACGUUUCAGCUUUUAUUUGAAAAUUUAUCUGUACAUUCUUACGUGGUUGCUGAGUGACAGCUGCCAGGAGCUGCCAGCAGCAGGGGGGGGCAGCAGCGAGGCGCUCACAGCUUUCCACAGCGCCCAGAAACGGGAGACAGCAGAGGAAACAAGACCCCACCAGCUCUCGCCUUCAGCCUUUUCCGAGUAGGGGAAUCAGCAAUCGAGUCAUCUUUAUCACAUUCYGAAGGGUGUUGGAUUUACACGGUCUUACGUAUUCAGCAUAAAGAUCUUGGGUUGAAGUGACUAUCUGCAGAGCAGCUUGAAAACUAUCCCAGGCUUUCUUUUCUAAAGCCAGUACCUUAAAGCUGCAGUACUCUCCAUGCAUCAUUCCCAGCAGUCCCAAAGCCAAAUAACAAAAGGAGCCCUUGCAAAUAAAUAAUCAUAGGAAAAAAAUAAAUAAGAUUAGACCUGGAAUAUACAGUUACAUGGUCUUUAUUUGGUUUCAGAGGUGGAAAAAAGUGGAGCUAGACUGCAGCUUUAAGCCUUGUGCUAAAAAGAGUCCCAACAAAUAUCUAACCCCACCCGUGUUUGCAAGGGGGAAAACUGGUUCAAACCAUACACCAGGGAGACAAUCCUCUCUCAGGGAAUCCUUUAACUUCGCUGGCAACACAGAAGCUUGCCCAAAGCCUGGUCGUGGAAAGUCUUAAGUCCAGUUUUUCCCUACUUAAGCCAGAAGUCCUGUAAUGUCAUUUAAAGGCAGCUCUGCAGGAAGAGCUCUUGAUCUGCACUGUUUGGGGUACACACCCCCUCCCCAGGAAAUCCCCAAUAAAAAAAMCACACAGAAGAGAAAAGCA
rnacentral:lncRNA from 1 species